rnacentral:tRNA from 1 species
CCCGCCCUAGCUCAAUGGUCAGAGCAUCCGGCUGUAGCUUCCGCCCAUGUGGGCGAGGGCAUCCAGGCAUUGAGCAGACACCGGAGGGUUCCCGGUUCAACUCCGGGGGGCGGGA